GCUAGAUAUUGUUUGCCGCCAUUCUGAAAAUCGUCACUGUAAGAGACUGUUGUGCAGAUGUUGCGUCGCACCUCAAAACAUUCUGAAUUCUUUUUGGCAGAUUUGAUUAUCCCACUUUUGAGAAAAUAAAAAAAAAUUUAAGGGGAUCGUCUGUGGGGAACGCUUUAACUAUUUUAAUAAAUUCGUCCUUCAGGUUACAGGAAAAGAUGUACCUCAAUAUGUAACACCAUUCGAAGAAACCUGCCUGCGCCAUCCACUACUUCAAAGCAUUAAAAAUUCUGGCUACGUAAAACCAACACCUGUUUAGAAAGCUUCAGUUGCAGGUAUUCUUGCCAAAAGAGAUUUAAUGGGUUGUGCUGUCACGGGCUCUGGCAAAACAGUAAUCCAAUUAAUUAACGCUCAGUAAUUUUGAAACCACUACAAGGUCCAAUUGCAUCUAAGGUGGCGUACUUGCAACGGUUUUGAACAUUGUUAGAACAAGGUGUUGCUGCUGAGUCUCAUGCCAUGGAGCAAAAGCCAGAAGUUACCCACUCGUGAAUUGGUCAUUCUAAGUCACCGCUACACCAUGGCCACUGAUGUUCCUGCCCUUGGUCUAGAUAUUGCUGGCGUCAACUAUGUCGUAAAUUAUGACUUGCCAACUGAAAUUGAAGAGUAUGUUUAUCGUGUUGGUCGAACGGGCCGCGUGGGAAAUGUUGGAAAAUCAAUAAGGCCAAAAAGGAAAAAAACUAAAAAUUGAAAAAGGAAGGAAAGAUAAGCGGAUUAGCUGCAAAGCUACUGCUCUUUAUGAACUCGUCCAUUCACAUUGGUCUGGUACAAGUAAAAUAAAGGUCAAUAAACACGCGGUUUGACGGGGCAUCAUACGAAAAUUAAUCGGCUUAUCCUGUCUGCGACUUUGUCCAUCUGCCGCCAAUUUAAAUUGCAAAAAGAAUAUCUUGUUCGAUGUAUUUAUUAACCGCCAUUUUUUCCUAUCGAUAUACAAAAGUCACAUGGAUGAUGGCCCUACGAUCUACGGAUAUCCGUGCAGGUAGAUCCUGACAUUGAAUGAAAUCGAAUGAAUGCAGUUGU